rnacentral:lncRNA from 1 species
UGAUAUGGUAAUAUGUCCAAAAUGUACAGUUGUAUGAAAGAGCUUGCAACACAAUCUAUACAUAAUAUGAACACAUUUAGGUAAAAUUAUAUAUGUUUGUGUGUGUCUUCUGUAUGUGUGUAACAUGAUUAUUUUGCAAAGAGUGCCUUAAAUUAUCUCAAAAUUGUCUCAAGAACAGAAAAUUUCAAGGUGGAAGUGUUUCCAACCUAUUUCUUACAGCUCAACAAAAUCAUUCAUGCUUUUGACUUUUUUCAUUUCUAUGUUUCAUUAUCCUUAGUAUGUUAGCCUUUCAUUAUCAGAUUUGCCACUUCAUGGUUUGUAAGGAUGGGUUGCCAAGUUUCAGAACCAUUUCCAGCCCAUCAGUCUCUGGAUACCUCCUUCAGUAUGUGUGUGCACUAGGUCUGCCUAGCUCACCAGUGUGCCAUAGCCUCAGCUUCUAGGCCUUUCUUAUUUUAUCUAUUGUCAGUCACUUCUUCCCUGCCCUUUUUCACCCCUGCCUUAUCCUGCAACACCGAGUCUUAAAAUUCCAUCUUUACUGCACUCCAGUGCAGUUCCUGCUCUGAAGUUGAUGCUUAACCUUUGAGGAAUGCUGAUUAAUAAAAGACUCAAUUCUAAAAUGUUUUUCUACUCUUUUAAAUAAAUGAUAUUAGAAAAGAAAAAAGUUAGAUUACUACCAUGGCAGACAGUGUUGUUUGCCUCCUCAACCACCAUUUCUUUCCUCUUUCUUAACUAGUAAGAUGAUUUUUUAAAAGUACCAAACAACUCAAAAAAUGUGAGCUUCUCCCAAAGUAAUUUCAUUUCCCUUUGAAUAAGAAUGUUGUAUAGGUGGGCAUAUGGGCCAAGGGACAAUCAGCUUCGGAGAAUCCUGCAAUAUGUUUUACCCAGGUUUCAAAAUAUGUGCUUACAAUAUAUAAAGGGUUUUUCUUGAAUUACUGUUCAAUAUGGUGAACUCGGCAUAUCAUUUGCCUACUAUCCUUUCCUACACACCAUAGAAAUAAAAAUGAAGAAACAGAAAAAAUGAAGAAUAAGUGAAGGAGUAAAGAUGAUGUGUGCCUGUAUGCAUGCACUUACAUGAGUAGAAAAAAGUAGAUGAUGUCAAGAGAAGCAAAUGAAAUUUCAAAAAUGUGUUGGGAUACAAAGCAAAUAGUAGUGAUUUGACCAAAACCAUAGCCUAAAAAAUAUAGUGGAGAAGCUACACAGGAUAGGGCAGAAGUGAGAAUAAGGGCUGAAAAUGGGGAUAAAAUAUGGCACAAUUGAAUCUAUCACCAUACACAUUUCGCUUUCUCAGACAUAUAGACUGAGAGCAAGCAAAAGAUAUUAAUAUCUGCCACCAGACAAAAAGACCAAAACUGACCCCCCAAAUCUUCUCCAAAUUAAUUGAAUAACUAGUACAGAAAAGUGAAGACUUUUAGGUUGAUGACACAAAGGAAAAACAUUCUUAUUCAAGCAUUCAGGGCCAGCAUCCUGAGAAUAAGCUAAUUGCCUACUCAUGUAAAGUGAAACUUCAUAUUUGGCAUUCCUGGCCCUGUCCUACUAUCUGAAACUAGAUUUGACUUUCUUAUACAAGCAAAUAAUCCACCAAAGUUUGGGGCUGAAAUAUAUUUAUCCUUAAAGCAUUGUGUGAAAAGGGAAGAAUCAUUCCUUGCCAACUGUUGUCUUUCUAUCAUUCCUCCAAGAGAUAAGUUAGGAUAUGAGACCCCAAACCAACAACUUAAUAGAGUUUUCUUCUCAUAUAAUAGGCUAGUGAUGGGUACUCCUGAAAUUGUGUAGUUGCUUUCUCAAUUUAGUCAUCCCGGGACGAGAGUACCUUCUUUCUUGUCACUUUGCCAUUUCUAGAGUGUUGUUUUCAUCUAAUAGUUCAAAAUGGCUCACAGUCAUGACCAUAUAUAUUUCAAGCAGCAGUCUAAAGGAAGAGGAGAAGAAAAGGACAUAUCUUUGGGAACAUGAGUUGAAAGUACACCUAUCGAGGAGGAGCCGUGCGCUGCUGGUGCUGCUGGUGCUGUUGCCGCCGCUGCUCUCGCUGCAGUCAGUCAGGCUGCGCCUGCUUCUUCAGGGCCCAGUCCCUUGGACACAUCGCCGCUUCUAGACCCUCCUGCAGUCUCGGAUAUUGCUGGGAAAAUGUCUGAUGAAUUUUCGUUGGCAGAUGCACUACCUGAACACUCCCCUGCCAAAACCUCUGCUGUGAGCAAUACAAAACCUGGCCAACCUCCUCAAAGCUGACCAGGCUCCAACCCUUGGAAUAAUCCGAGUACUCCACCUUCGGUGCCAUCUGGACUCCCACCAAGUGCAACACCCUCCACUGUGCCUUUUGGACCAGUACCAACAGGAAUGUAUCUCUCCGUGCCUCCCACCGGACCACCUCCAGGACCCCCAGCACCCUUUACUCCUUCUGAACCAUCAUGCCCCCCACCUGGUGGUCCUUAUCCAGCCUCAACUGUGCCAGGCCCUGGCCCAUAGGGCCAUAUCCUAUACCAAAUAUGCCCUUUCCAGAGCUACCCAGACCAUAUGGUGCUACCCACAGAUCCAGCUGCAGCUGGUCCUUUAGGUCCAUGGGGAUCCAUGUCUUCUGGACCUUGGGUGCCAGGAAUGGGAGGGCAGUAUCCUACCCCUAAUAUGCCCUAUCCAUCUCCAGGGCCAUAUCCUGUUCCUCCUCCUCCCCAAGCCUCUGGGGCAGCACCACCUGUUCCAUGGGGCACCGUUCCACUAGGAGCCUGGGGACCACCAGCACCAUAUCCUGCCCCUACAGGAUCGUAUCCCACACCAGGACUCUAUCCUACUCCUAGUAAUCCUUUCUAAGUGCCUUCAGGACCUUCUGGUACUCCACUGAUGCCUGGUGGCCCCCAUUCUUACCAUUAAGUUAACAAUGGACGAAGAGAUGACGCUUUGCUUUUUGAAGUACGUAUAUAUGCACAUGAAUGCAUAUAUAAAAAGUGCUGGUUUCACUAUUAGAGGGCAUUCAUGAAAGAACAACUCUUGCACCUCUCAGAGAAGAUAACUGCCUCUUGUACUUGGUGAGCAUGACUAAUUCCUGCCAAUUAGGCCAAGCUUUCUAUUUCAUGGAUAAAGGUCAUUCUAGUAUCCAUGGCAUAAAUGAGGUCUAGGGAAUUCAAAGGCUACUGACAGCAGGGGAGAUAGGGCGUAAGUGGGUAAGAGCAAAUACUCCCAUUCCCUGCCCCCCCACCCUGUUAACAUGGGUGAAAGUCACUUUGACAACCAUGGGUGGCACCCUGUUGCAGUUGCCAGGACUCAGGGAUACAGUAACAGAGGAAAGAAAGAGCAAUGCCUUGCUUCCUCUCUCUCAUGUAUCCCAGUUAUUUGCUAGGAAGAGAUGGGAACCAGGGAUGCCUGCUCCCCUCUUUCUAGAUCAUUAGGCAUUCAUCUUCAGUCUGUACCCCUUUCGAAUGCAUCCUGAACCCCUGGGGCUCCUUUGAAACAGGAGUCUUUUUUCUUUUUUCCUCCUCUGUCCUCUCUUAGAUAGGUAAUUGUGUCUUUGUACUACAGGACACUCUCCUCAAAUGCAUACUCCAAUCUUGCCAGAGUUAAUUUCCCAAACCUUAGACUGGUUGGCUUAGGAUUGGGCUCGGGGGAAGGGAACCCAGAAGCCUGACAUGCUGGCAAAAGUAAA